CGCCUGCAUGAAGUCGGAAUUGCUAGUAAUCGCGGAUCGGCAUGCCGCGGUGAAUACGUUCCCGGGCCUUGUACACACCGCCCGUCACACCAUGGGAGCCGGUAAUACCCGAAGUCAGUAGUCCAACCUCGUGAGGACGCUGCCGAAGGUAGGAUUGGCGACUGGGGUGAAGUCGUAACAAGGUACC
rnacentral:rRNA from 1 species